rnacentral:rRNA from 1 species
UACAUGGGGUGCAAACGUUGCUCGGAAUUAUUGGGCGUAAAGCGCGCGUAGGCGGUUACUUAAGUCGGAUGUGAAAGCCCUCGGCUUAACUGAGGAAGUGCACCCGAAACUGAGUAGCUAGAGUACGAAAGAGGGUCGCGGAAUUCCCGGUGUAGCGGUGAAAUGCGCAGAUAUCGGGAAGAACACCCGUGGCGAAGGCGGCUCUCUGGGACGGUACUGACACUGAGGAGCGAAAGCCAGGGGAGCAAACGGG